UUUCACUGGUGCAAUUCGCGCGGUCGCGCCAUCAGAUCCUUCGGUGAAUCGAGAUAUCGGAAUCUUUUUCGCCGUCAAUGCAAGAGGAAUCCUAAAUUUCCUGUGUUCUAACAUUUUGCAAAUAACCGAUCUCAAUUUGACGCAAGAGGAAACAAGUGGCAGAAGAUCUGCUCGAAGAUCAAAUUCAAACCCUCCAUUGAUUUCGAUGACGAAAGUCAAGGCAGAAAAGUAGAAAGAAGCGAACUAGAGAUCACAGUUUGAUUCGCAUGGUAUUUGGCGUUUUAGCACUCCUGGUUCAGGCCGUCGGAGUUCAUAACCCUACAGUUCUUAUGCCGUUUUCUGCUUCGAGUAUGAUGGAUCUUCCUAAGUUUGGUGUGUUUCAGUUUCAACGUGACUACGUGAGCACAGGGAAAGCUUGUAGUGUGCAACUUACCAGCCACAUGCUUGUCUUGUAAUCCGCGACAGAUUUGACCUUCGACAAGUUUCUUGAAAUCGAAAGGGAACGGCAGUGGCUAUGGUCUAUGGAGGAUAAAAUUUGACAGUUCGAAUAGAUGUUCACACGUGCAAAAUGAUAAGUAUAUCAUAACUCGCCAUACUGAUUUUCAGUUCAUUCAAUAUGUAGCAUAACGUUCAGAUAUGGAGGCUUAAUGUCUUAUAUUUGUUUUAAUUUGAAGGAACUGGCGAUCUCAACUCUAUGAGAACAGAGAUGGACCUCCUGGACUAAACAGUUCAUUCUAGAUCUAUUUAAGUCAAUUGCACAAACCAAAACCUUAUGUUCUCGCUGUUUCUUUAUUAUUUCUUCUGUAGAUGUUUAUGGAAAGUAAAAUUAGACUACUUAGCUCAUCUAUUAUUUUUUAUGAACAAACCCUUGCUUCCCUGUCAUGUCAUGGUUUGAGUUCUCUAAGAUUUUUGUCUAGAUAAAUUUGCCAUGAUAUUUGGAUCUUAACAUGAUUUUUGGUGAGUGUCUUGUUUGGGUGGUACUAUUCGAUUGAUGCCAUAGGCAUAAAUAUUAUGAAUACUGUAGAAUAGGUUCCUUACUUGCAUAAUUGGUUACAGUUAAUGCUUAAUUUGCAUGUAUAAACCAGACUAGCAAAUGUGGAGAACUGAUGUAUGCCAUGAUUUUGAUAUAGAAAACUUGUUUUAUUUUACUAUCAAUGAUUUUUAUAUCACAUGAUUCAAGCAUGAAUUGAGCAUGCUGCACUGAAGUGGAUAAUGUUCGGUUUCUUGAACACCUUGGGACUACUUGCCAAACACAAUUGGCAAUAGAGAUUGUUAGGUAGAUCAAUUUGAAAUUGUUGCCUUGAAGUGGAUAAUGUUU